GAUGAACGCUGGCGGCGUGCCUAACACAUGCAAGUCGAGCGAACAGACGAGGAGCUUGCUCCUCUGACGUUAGCGGCGGACGGGUGAGUAACACGUGGAUAAUCUACUUAUAAUACGGGGAAAACCUCGGGAAUGGGGCUCUUAUACCGGAUAAUAUAUUGAACCGCGUUGGUCAAUAGUGAAAGUCGGCUUUGCUGUCACGUAUAGAUGGAUCUGCGCUGCAUUAGCUAGUUGGUAAGGUAACGGGUUAUCACGGCGACGAUGCGUAGCCGACCUGAGAGGGUGGUAGCCCACACGGGAGCUGAGCCACGGUCAAGACUCCUGCGGGAGGCAGCAGUAGGGAAUGGGCCGCAGUGGGCGGGAGCCUGACGCAACAGCGCCGCGUGAGUGGUGGAAACGUCCGGUGCGUGAUACUCUGUUAUUAGGGAAGAACAACUGUGUAAGUAACUGUGCACGUCUUGACGGUAACGGGUAAGAAAGCAACGGCUAACUACGUG
rnacentral:rRNA from 1 species